UAGAGGGUAGUAUAAUUGAAAUAUAUAAAAUUUUGAGUUUUUUGAUGUUGGUUCGACUCCUCCCCCUCUAU
rnacentral:tRNA from 1 species